GUCGAUGCUGGGCUACUUCGUCGACCUCGGGAUGAAGACCCGGAAGCUGCCGGUCGACCAGCUGGAGCUGGUGCCGCCGACGAUCGAUCCCA
rnacentral:tRNA from 1 species